rnacentral:lncRNA from 1 species
AUGAGCUCAGAGUUUUUGAGUUUUGGUUUGAAGCGAUGCACCUCUUCCAAAAUACCCGUAAACGAGUGUGCCCGUGCACAGUUUUCAGAUGAUUUUGAUGAAAGAGUGGUUUCAAGCCCACCAGAAGAUGAAAGACAUGUCUGCUACCCUCUCCAGAUUCAUCACUCUCAAUUCAGAUGUCCUUUAUGCACUCCUCUUCCAUGUCUUUCCUCUAUCCUUGCCCUCAGAAGCCCUCAAAGGUAAUCAAGCGCUGAUCCAAAUCUCCCCUGCUCAUGGUGGCAUGAAGCCAUCUUCACCCAGAAAUGGGAACUAACUGACGACACUACGCUCAGAGGACUUUGAGAGGCAAAGUAAGGAAUAACAGCUUCAUUUCAGAGGUGAAAAAAGUGAACGUUUUUGCAAAAUAUGUUUUCAUGCAGCAAUAAACUGCAAUAUACUUCUACAAUUCCUAUUUGACUUAGGUUCUUAAAAAGGUUUACAGGACUUUCCAUCUUUUUAUUUUCUAUAUUUUCUUGUCUGUGCUCCGCAACACUCACGGUGAGUAAAUUGGGCGAGGUUCGAUGGGUGAGGCAGCCUGCUGUGCUGUUUCUCUUUGUACUUGACUGUUUCCUUGUGUUGUGUUUUUGUUUUCACAUCGUAUUCCAUCAUCAUUAUCGUCUCUGACUGUCUCCAUCCGAUUAGGUUUGAGUGUUUUCUUUAGACUUGGCAGAAAGACUGUUGAAGGCCACUUUAUGCAUGCAAUAGGUAACUUGGAAACAUCAAAACAAGUUGAAAACCUUUUUAUCUGAUUUUUUGCUAUUUAUUAUAAUAAUAAUUGAUUGGAUUUAUCUGCGCUUUUCAAGUCACUCAAAGCGCUUACAUUGUGUCCAUUAUUCAUUCACUCCUCAUUCAUUCUUGGUGAUGGUAGCUACUGUUGUAGCCACAGCUGCCCUGGGGCAGACUGACAGAGGCAUGGCUGCCAGUUUGCGGCUACGGCCCGUCUGACCAUCAUGGGACAUUGAUACGCAUUCAUACACCAGUGGAGCCACACUGGAGGGUUAAGUGUCUUGCCCAAGGACACAAUAACAGUUGGCUGGGGGAGCAGGGAUCGAACCGCCGACCCUUUGAUCAUUAUACAACGCCCUCAACCGCCUGAGCCACUGCCGCCCGCUUAAUACAAAGCUUUAUAUUUGACUUGCAUAGUUUUUAAUAAAGAAAAAAGCAAGUUGUUGCUUUAAUGUUUAUUUGCAAUUUAAGUGAAUUUCUUUGAUACAAAGAGAAUAAAAGUUUGAAGAGUUGCUGGUUGUAUCGUAAAGUCAGAAAUGCUGUGGUGUCAUUGGCCUGCAGAACAUGGCUGAAGCCCUUCCUGAAAGGCUUGAUAACCUUCUCAUGGCCACUUUUUUUUCUGGCAGAAGGGCAUAAAAGGAGAGAAGAGGCCAUAGAAAACGGAGGACCUAUUUCACAGAUCAUCAAGCAUCAAAGGCAUGCAGUGUGUCAACAGCCGGUCUAAGCAGAAACACCGUCCUCAUAAAUUCCUUGAAGAUCCCCUAAAGAAGAUCGAGUGAUUUGGGAAUUUAUGGGAAUGAAUUUCUUUUUUGUCCUGGGACCUCCCCUUCAUCUAUUGAGAGAGAUAAAUGAAAGCUGAGGGGAUAUGUGUUGUGCAGGGUGAUGAACUGUGUGAAUGCUCAGAAUGAAUCUCACUGAACCAGUCUGUCACACACACUUACUGUCCUGUAAAGAUGCUAUUUAUACUUUCAACCCGUUCAGUAAAAGAACGCAUUUGGAAAAGCCUCUUCUUCUCCUGACAUUCGUAUACUGAUCUUCACUUUGGAUUUUCAUCUCAGUUGCAAUUCUCUGUGCAGAUUCUCAUUCAUCCGGGUUGAGUACCACAAAAUGUUGUGUUACAUCUGGGCAAAAAAUGCAUGAGACUACAUUAAAAGUGAUGAGUUUUAUGCUCAAAUAUGAGACUGCAACUUCUUGAAAUCAUUGGAAUGUGGUGAUUGGCUUCAUGAAUCUGACAAGAUCCACUUUUAACCAUAGACAGUAAAGGUCACUGGACAGCUUCACCCCUCCCCCCUUGCGUUCCAAAUAGGUAGUACCCGUUAGCUCCAAGAAGCCAAAAUCCCACAGACUUCUAUUGAGAAAUAAACAGCUAUAACUCAGUCAUCUAUUUGUCAAAAUAACCACUCUUGAUCUACUACCUUUUUCCUAACAUCUUCUUGCUAAUCCAAUUUUUUGUUUUCAGUAUAUUUUUUCUUUAUCACAAGUUAUUCAAGUUAUAAACUGUUAUAAACAAGUUAUCAAGUGUUGCCCGCUGGCUCCCACCAUGAACGUUUGAUUGGCAGAUUUUCCCGAGCCGCUUUCAGUGGAAAGGGUGUGGACUUCAGACAAGCUUAUUAAUGUUUAGGGGCAGUUGCCCUAGAAACGUGACUCAGACUGACUCAGACCAAUCACUGUAGACUGGCUCCAAAUGGCGGUGCCCACAUCACAGAAAAAUAUAAACUGAAUUGACUUCAUUUUGCUAGAUGUUGUCUACAGUGCAUUUUUCAUUUAUCUUUUCAUCAGUAUUAAAGUCAUCAUGUAAUUAUGCAUAACAUUCCCACAAGCUUUAUUUACUGUAGUUUCCUGAGUUGUUGCAUUCUUAGCGUUUCACAGUAAUGACAAUAAAAUUGAAAUUAUAAACGAAUGACUAAGAUAAUUUGCAAUUUCGCAUAUAUACUACUAUUUAGCAUAGUCUACAUUGUGCUUUUUCCUCUGGGUUUUUUAAAUAUUUUAUAUAUUAUAAUAUUUCUAUUAUAAUAAGUCUUUUUUUAUAUCGUGCGGUAAUUAGUGUUACAUACUCCUUUUCUGUCCUCAGAUGCACUGCUGAAGUUUUUCAGUUUGUCCCCUGCAAAUCCUCCUGUCACUUCCACAUCAGCAGCUCAUCUCAGCACUGAUGCGGCAGCAUCAAGCGCCGCUCCAGUCAUUUCCACCUCAGCAGUGCAACUCAAAAGUGAUGCAGCAGCAUCAAGCGCUUUUUCUCCUCCAAUAGACCCAGCUCACUGGCCAUCUCCUCAAGUGGGUAAGGUAACUGCAGGCUAACUGCUACCUGCUUUGAGAAUCUCUGCCAUUCUUGAAAUCUACUACAGUAAAAGAACCUCUAAGUGGAUUUGCCAUGAUAAGUGUAAACCAUGAGGUUUAAAAACAAUUACUAUAUGAUGAGGUUGUGAAUGACUUUGCUGCAAUUAAAAACUGGAGAGUAAAGCUGUUGCAGGUUUAGUCAGAUUGAGGAGGAGGUGGAGUUGUAGUUUUUAAAGAAAUUCAAAUUAAGGCUGUAGCAAGACACCACCUGGUCUUUGUAAGAUCAUCUUUUAAAUACAAAGAGAUAAUUAUUCUUUUUUGUGUCUACUUGCUUCUUUAAUAUCUUAUUUUUAU